UCGAACUCCUGACCUCAGGUGAUCCACCCACCUCAGCCUCCCAAAGUGCUGGGAUUACAGGCAUGAGCCGCCAUGCCUGGCCCCUUCUUUUCCAACCUCCUGCCUAUUCUUCUCCUCCAUGAAGCCCUCCUGAUUUGAAACCCUUGGCUCCCCUUUUCUUGGUUUCUUCCUGCACUCAACAAGCCCCUCCAGCAAUUCCUAAAUCAGGUCCUGGUGUGACUCUCUUCUCUCUCAUCGGACUAGGGGAACAGGCCUGUGUCUCCUCCCUCUGAACUGCCAACUACUAACCCCCACCAUACCCAUUGUCUCCACACCACCUCCCAUGCCCCCUGAAGACUCAGACCCAAAACAGAUCUGUAAAGCAUGUGCGUGUGACCAUGGGAACCCGGGAGUCCUGUCUCCUCUUCAUCCACAGAAAUUUCCACAGAAGCCCCACGGAUUCCCAUUUCAGAGUCUUCGACAUGUUGCCAUAAAUUGUCUUCUGAGGAGGAAGCCAGAUCUCAAGUUCUAGCAGUGAAGCUUCAGAGAAGAGGCUGGGAUAGCCAGCUUCCUGGAGUCCCACAGAAGCUCUUCUCAGCCUUUGAGGCCUCCUUCAAGAAGCCCUGUUCUUUGAAGCUCAGGAAACUCAUUGAAAAAAAAAAAAGAAAUCCUGUUCUGCCCCAAAGCCCCUUCUGCAAGGUGUGCACUGAGCAUUAGGCUUCCCAGCACUGAGUACA